rnacentral:lncRNA from 1 species
CAGGGCCGUAACUACAUUGAGGCAAAUGAGGCAAAUGCCUCAUGUUGGAAAUUUUAUAUAAAAAAAAAAAGAAAAAAAAAACAGAAAGAAAAGAUUGUCUUCAUAUCAAAUUGUUUUAACGGGAAGUGUUUCUUUAUACUCUCAGAUGUCGCCCUUGCAUGUUUUUCGUGGUCCAUAUUUCUAUUUAAUUUUUAGUUUUAAGAGUUGAUGGUUAUUGUUUGUACUCCUGUGUCCCGGGUUUGUCUUUUGUUCAUUUAUUAUGACUAUAUAAAGUCUGAGUGUUGAUUUUCAUUUGUAAACAUGUGGUUUUGCAAUGUUGCAUGUCAACCGAUGUCCAGACAUUGUACAAAAAAAUAUUUUAAGAAUAAAAAACAUCAAUGUAUUGCCAUAUGAUCUUUUACAUUAUAGGGUUAAACUUGCAUUAAGUCGUGUUCAGACCCUUUAACAGAAAAUAAAAGAAGAUGGAGUAAACGUGCACGGGACCUAAUCUCACACAAAAUUAAUGCAUAGAAAAAAUACAAAUGAUCAAUGGUCAAAGUUUUUUCUUGUUUUUCAUCUUGAUAGUUGCUGGAGGGUCUUCAACAAUAAAACAAUCAUUAAUACCGUAAAACAAGGUCAAUAUGAUCCUUAGAGCCGACUCAGUUACUAGUACUUAAAGUAUAAUACUGCACUGUCACUAUAUAUAAAUCUUGUCAUAAAAAAAUCAACAAAAUCUAAGCACAAUACAAGACAAGAACAGAUGGACAGAACCGGUUUUAAUGAUUGUGAGAAUUACGAAUUUUGCUUUAUCCUACAUACCGGUCUACUUUUAAUGUUUUCCCCGUAAAACCCGUAAAAGUCUUAAAUGACAAAGAAUCUAUGUUUUUGCUUUGAGACCAGAAUAUUGUCCAAAAAAAAGCUAAAAAUUAAUUGCGUUUCAAUGUAAGAAAGAGUCCGGGAAACGCUCAGAAUGCACAAUUUUGCUUUAUUUUUCUCAGAGCUUCUGGGGGCCUUGAGCGACCCCCAAACCCCUCGCCAAAUUUUUUCCGCCUCGAUACGCUCGGCGAAUAUAUCUUGCCUCACUAUUAAAAGAGGCUAGUUACGGCC